CCCUGGCCCCCCUAUGCAGUACUACCCCGGCCCCCCUAUGCAUCGUAUGUAUAAGUGAAUGUUCUCUUUCAGGAUAUAGUGUUCCGAUGGCAUAUCGUUUUUAUGUAGCCGAUAUUCAUAGUUGUAAUUGUUUUCAGACUACCCUGGCCCCCCGUUUUCAGAUUACCCUGGCCCCCCUAUGCAGUACUACCCCGGCCCCCCUAUGCAUCACUACCCUGGCCCCCCGUUUUCAGAUUACCCUGGC